UCCCUCCACAUCCUGCCAACGCUUGUGACCAGGUUCCUGCUUCCCCUAGUGUCCUUCUCCUGCCCUGGGACCCGAUCAGGACCCCGUGUGUCACCGUCACCACACCCCCUCUGGGCUCCCUGGACGGUGUUGAGAGGAGUGGUGAGGUUUCAUGGGCUGCCCCUCAGCUGGGACUGUCAGUUCUCCUUGUUCUGUGACGGGGUGGGGCCAGGAGGACGCUCCAGGAGGGCCUGUCCUCCGCCCCCUCCAGGUCUGUGCCCUCAACAGGCCCUGGCUGCUGCCCUGGCCUUGGUCUCCUGCCGAGUUGGGGCGUCUCCCCUUCCCCGCUGGAGGGCAAGUGUCCACCUGCUGUGGUUUUUGAGGGGUUUGUGGGGCCUGUGGGCUGUGCAGGAAGCCUGGGCCUCUGAGGAAGACAGACAAUGGAAACAGGGAGGGGACAGGCCACCACUGGCAGCUGGGCAGGAAACAGGCACAGAGAGAAGACAGGAAGUCCCCAGGAGAAAGGAGUGAACGGGGGACGAGGGCCGGCCACUCUGGGAGCCAGGCCAGGUGCAGGAGGGACCUAACUGGGCAUUGAGAUGUGUGGCCGGACAUGUCCCCUGGUUGGCCCGGGCACUGCAAUGGGCACUGGGACUCAGGUCUGCGACAUCAGCAGGGUCAUCCACAGGGGCUUUGGUGGGGACACCGAGGCUGCAGCCCCAGAUGCACAAGGAGACCCACCUGGCCUCAGCCAUGGCUGCCCGCUGUGUGCUGACUGGGCUCUGGUCAGGCCCACUCUGUCCUUGGCUGCAGACCUUGACUUUUAUAACUGACAGGUAUGAGGCCCCCAGUAGAACAAGGAGCCACAUGGAAAGUCGGCCACUGCAGGGGUGCCGGGAGGCCUGCUCGCAUCCUGGUGACUGCCUGGGGACCCUGGCCAUGCCACGGACCGUGGCAGCUGUUCAACGGGCGGAGAUCCUGGCAUGGGCGGGUGGAGAGCUGCCCAGCUCCCUCCAGCCCAAGACACCACCGAAAAAUGACUCAGCCACAUGUCCGUGGUCCUCAGGGUGGCCCCACUGUCCCCUGAAAUCGUGCCCCUGGGUUGGGCCCCACUUCAGUGAAUUCUGGGGGAGACUGGUCUGUGUCCCACAGGAAGCCCAGCAGGUCCCGUGGAGUCCAGGGCAGGAUGAGCAGACACCCCAGGUUUCAUCACCGGCGACACAGGAAACCAGAGACAGUGGCUCUCAGUGGUGACGCCACCAUCAUCAAUAGUUUACAGCAGGUAAUGGACACUCGACCUGGGUCUCAGGCUCAGGUGGCCACAGUACAGCUGCCAACCUGGGGCUGUGUCAGAACAGGAGGGCAGCUGACUCCUGCCCACAGGCCCCAAAGACCCAGAAGCCAGCAGUGCACUUUCUGAUGGGCCUGGUCUCAGCUGAAGGAGGCCCCAAGGCCCUUCCUGCACUGGCCAGGGCUGACAGGGCAGAGGUUGGGAGGACGGUAGGGAAGGGGGCAGAGCCAGCCACUGCUACACCUGCUGCACUCCGACCCAGAGACAGGGAGAGACACUCAGCCCCUUUGAGCACAGGGAGGGGCCAGGUGCAGGGGGCCACGCCUCCUACCUCAGCGACCCAGGGGGCUGCGGCAGGGCAUGCAAGGUCCAGGCCGGUCUGGGCCAUGCAGCCAGAAGGCAUCCCAAGCUAAAUCUGGCUGGGAUGCAGUCCAGGGGAAGAGCACCUGGGUUUAACCCCAGCACCGUUAGCCCCAGGGAGACACUCACGUGCCCUGGGGUGACUAUGACCAAAAGAUGUCACGAGGGAGAGCUGCCAGCACUGUGCAGAGGUCAGCAGCCUCAGGACCACCACUGCUGGUGACCAGCCUGGCAGCGCCACCAAGGUGAAAUGCAGUCACCACCAGGGCCAGCAACCCCUCCUAGUGGAUGCCUGAGUCCAGAACAGACAGCCGACACACAAAGGGUGCACACGGAAACAGCCAAGGUCCACCAACAGGAGGUGGACACACAGCCUGGCCACGCACACCUGGAGCGUCCUGGCCAGGGCAGGAGCGAGGUGACACACUGCAGCAUGGGUGGACCUGAGGACCACGUGCUCAGUGACAGCCAGGCACACAAGGCCCAGUGACAGAGGAGUCCAGGGCAGGAGGCUCCAGAAAUCGACGUGCACCCGCGGGUGCGACGGGGCUUGCUUUUUCCCUGAAGCUUUCAUGAAUGUGUCUCUCUAGAGAUCAUGAAUAUCACAUGUCAUUGUCACAACUCCAUAGCCCGAUGGAAGGGAGCUGAACACGCCUGUCAACAGACACUCAAUGUCCUCUUUCAGAGUAUUUCCUAUGGAAAGUAAGUUCAUCUGCAGAGGUGUGUGUGAGUGUGUGUGUGUGUGAGUGAGUGUGUGUGCCUCUGUGUGUGUCUCUCUGUGUGUCAGAGUGUGUGUCUCUGUGUGUGUCUGUGUGUGUGCAUCUGUGUGUGUGAGUGUGUCUCUGUGUGUGUCUGUGUGUGUGCAUCUGUGUGUGUGUGACUGUGUCUGUGUGUCUGUGUGUGUGUCUCUGUGUGUGUGUGUCUGUGUGUGUCUCUGUAUGUGUGUCUCUGUGUGUGAGAGUGUGUCUGUGUGUGUGUGUCUGUGUGUGUGAGUGUGUGAGAGAGUGUGUGUGCCUCUGUGUGUCUGUGUGUGUGUCUCUGUGUGUGUGUCUGUGUGUGUAUCUGUGUGUAUGUGUCUGUGUGUGUGUCUCUGUGUGUGUGUCUCUGUGUGUGUGUCUCUGUGUGAGUGAGUGUGUGUGCCUCUGUGUGUGUCUGUGUGUGUGUGUCUCUGUGUGUGUCUCUGUGUGUGUCAGAGUGUGUGUCUGUGUGUGUGUGUCUGUGUCUGUCUCUGUGUGUGUGAGUGUGUGAGAGAGUGUGUCUCUGUGUCUGUAUCUGUGUGUGAGUGUGUGUGUGAGUGUGAGUGUGUGUGGGUGUGAGUGACAGGGCUUCACUUUACUAUGCCCCUUGAGGCUUUGGAACUUACAAGGCUUCUCUUUUUCCCUAAUCUUCUCCCUGAACUUCUCCUCCCUGAUCUCAUUUUCUCUGAAUGUCUCCGUGAUAAACCUCGGUCUGCCCAGGGGCAGAACCGCAGCCUGGGGAACCGGACCUGUCUUGAUAUUGAACUGGCGUCGAGGACGAGGACCAAGCUCUGGUUACGUGUGUGGUGUGUGCAUUUGGUGGCCCGUUGCAGUUUCCUGUGGCUGGUGACAGCAGUGCUGGAGAGCCAGCCUCGCCCUGCGCCUCGCUCCCCGGCUCUUCCUGCCCGUCUGCUGCUGGGAUCCGCAGGGCCUUGAUACAUUUAAAACCAAAUUCCAAGUCUCCCAGCUGCUAGAAAACAUUUAAAAUUAGAAUGGGCUACAAAGGAGAAGACAACCACCCCAGUGACGGAGGCAACAAGUGUCAAUAUUGCAGGUGUUGAUACAUUGUACAGGUUUUAAAAUUUUUAUUUUGUAGCUUUAGAUUAUUCUUUUUCGCCCAAAUAACGCUUGUUCCCUAUUUUUACUUUCCCUUUUUGUCCUGAGAAUUGAAUCAGAAUGCUCUACCACUGAGCUGUACCCCCAACCCUGUUUGAGACAGGGUCUCUUAAGUUGCUGAGGGUGGCCUUGAACUUGCAACCUCCUGCCUCAGCCUCCCCCCAUGGAUCGAACGACAGGCGUGGCCACCAUGCCUGGCCUACUUAUUUCACUUUUUUUAAAAAUAUAUUUAUUUUUUUAGGUGUAGAUGGACACAACACCGGGCCUUUAAUUUUAUGUGGUGCUGAGGAUGGAACCUGGGUCCCCUCCCGCCCGUGCUAGACAGGGCUCUACCCCUGAGCCACAAUCCCAGCCCCUUAUUUCACUUUUUAAAAUGAAAGUCAAGCCACCCUGAGCUCUUUCCUCCCACACCCCAAGCUUCUCUGUGGAGCCAACAGGGUCUGAAUUCGUGGACGUCACCCUGGAGGACAGUCACCCUGGAGGACAGCCGUGGGAUCACCCCCUGUGGCAGGCCCCGCCAACUUCCCUCAGCACCACCCCUCCCGGUUUUCCACACAACUUCCUCUUUUUCUCAAGAUAAAAUAGGUCCCAACAAUGAAAACAAACACUCGGAGACGUUCACAUUCAUCUCCAAAGCGGGCCUCUGGAACGCCCUUGGUCACUUCCAGAUAUUGUGGGGGAUUCCGGUCAGGCACCCCGGCAGCCAGGACCCGCUCACUUGUUUCAAUCUAGUACUUUUCCAGCCAUCUGCAAAGUCUCCCUGCAACAGUCCUGUCCCUGGGGGUCCCUGCUCCCCCUGGCCCCGAGAAGUCAAAGCCAACAGGGUCUUGCCCACAGCCUCGAUUCAGAGGAGAGGCUGACCCCAAGAACCCAGAGUUCCCCAGGCUCUCUGAAGCAUGUCCUUGAUAGUUCACCUCCCAACUGAGGAAUGAGUGAUAAGGCAGAGGGCGGGGAGGGGCCUGCAGCCCUCCAGUGGGGCUCCUGGCUCUGGUCCCUCCUGGGUUCCCUGGUCCCUGCAUCCCAGGCGGCUGGAAGGGUCUGUGGUCCUGGGCGGAGCAGGGAGGCCAGCAUUCCUCAGAUUGUUUAUUUGUUUGUUUAAUCUGGGCUGGGCCAGGAACACCUCCUCCCGUCUGCAUUGGGUGGUAUUUGGAUUCUUGCUGCAGCCCAGAGCCCCUGUCCUGGGUUUCCCUGCUGGGCCCCGGGUGGUGCCCUACUCCAGAUGCACACUGGUGGCUACUGAGCUUUCUCCCCCGCCCCCCCCCUGCCCCCGUGCUGGGCUGGACCUAGGGCCUCACGAAUGCUGGACAGCGCUGACCACUGAGUGCUACCGCCCUGUUUGCUUUUGUCCCACGCAUUCAGUCCCUAAGUCCCUAGGCCUCCCAGCCUUGCCCUGUGGCCCCUAUGACCCUCUGCAGACCCUCCCCAGCUCAAAGUCACCUACCAUGUGGGACAACCACUGUCCAGCCAGCACACGGCUCCUGUCCCUCCCAACUUGGUGGCCGAGGAUGACCGAGAUGGGAAGAUGAGAUUCCUGCUGCCGGCAGCCAGCACUCACAGGGGUCAGCCAUCCGUCCCCAGAGCCUGUGUUUGGGCCCAGCACUGCCCUGGAGGGUCCCAGCAGGUGGCCUGCGUGGGAACCACCCCCAAAGGCUGAGCUUGUGGAAUCCUGGGAUGGUAGCAGCAGGUAGGUGUGCCUUCCUGGGUGACGCACACCCAGACACCUUGCCUCUGGUGGAGUCAUGCACAUCGAGGCCUGGGCGGCCCCGGAGGGAGGCUGAGGUGCCCGCUGUGGCCUCGGAGGAGGGGUUGGGGAGUGGAUCCCCUUCCUGCAGACUUGGACCCUCGGGGAAGGAAAAGCAGGGUGGCGCGUAGGGUGGUGGACCGUCCCCCAGCAUGCCCCUGCUCUGAGGUCUCCCCAGCACUGCAGAAAAAGAGAAGAAAAGCAGGUGGUUGUCCUCAGGGAACUGGGGACUGAGGAUCACCUCCACCCUCCCCUGGUCUGAGCACUUCCAGGGCCAGCAUCCUGUCCCCAGAACAUGGCCCCGGCUCAGCACCCCUGGGCGACACUCAGCCCCUGACCCGCCCGGGAUGGCCAGCACAGACCUGAGCCCACACCCUGCUGCCUAGUCAGUGGUCAAGUGGACACAGACUGGAACCUCAGAAUCUGAGCCAAAGAAACCCUUCUUCCUCUACGUUGAUUUUCUUUCUUUCUUUUUUUCUUUCUUUCCUUCCUUCUUUCUAGAAAUAGAAUUUUAUUGUAUCUUUUAAGUAACUGUGGUACAGGGUGGUGGCUCAGCGGUAGAGCACUCGCCUAGCAUGCUAAGGGUUCGACCCUUAGCACCACAUACAAAAUAAAACAAAAUAGAGAUAUUGUGUCCACCUAUAACUAAAAAAUAAAUAUUAAAAAAGUAACUGUUGCACAAAGAAACUACAAAUUAUGAACUCCAGAAUGCUUCCAAAUAAUUUAUUUUCACAUGAAUUUUUUUUUAAAUCUACUACACGGGUAAGUAUUAUUGUCUUUUUUUUUUUAAGAGCGAGCGAGAGAGAAUUUUAAUAUUUAUUUUAUAGUUUUCAGUGGACACAACAUCUUUGUUUGUAUGUGGUGCUGAGGAUCGAACCCGGGCCUCGUGCAUGCCAGGCGAGCGCGCUACUGCUUGAGCCACAUCCCCAGCCCAUGAUUUGGUUUUUUAUCAAGCAAAUUUUCUUUGCAAACCUUUAUUUAUAUAUCUGUUAUUAUUUUUAGUGAACUGUAGCUAUACGUAAUAGUGGAGUUCAUUUGACAUAUUUAUAAAUGCAUGUAAAAUAGUUUUGUCCAUUUCCAUUCCCAUCAUUCUCCCUUCCCUCCCUUUCACCCUUCACCUGAGAAGCUGAUUUUCUUUUUAUUUGUUUUCUCUUGUUUCAUUGUUUCUAAGCUGAUUUUCUCAUGUAUUUUGUCACAGUGACGGAACUGACUAACACUGUUAGUGAACAGAGGAGCCACUGAAUCCAGGGUACAUCUGGGCAAAGCUGUUUAAGCAUGACCUUAGUGAGACAGUCAGAUGAUACGUCUUAGAUGAUCUUAGUUGGCACAGUCCAGGGGCAUGUGGUACAUUCAGAGGUGCAGGAAUCACCUCUACCUGAUUCUAGAGCAUUCUUGUCACCACAAAGGGAGGACUCCUGCCUAUGAGCAGCCAGCCCCCUGUCCCUCCCAGCCCUGCACCCACAGGUCCACGUCCUGUCUCUCCAUUCCUGUCCUGGACUCUCCUGUCAUGGGGUCACACUGGCUGUCACUGAGCAUGAGGUCCUCAGAUCCCUCCACACUGCAGCUGUCCCCUCGCUCCUGCUGGUGUCCGAGAAUGCUCCAGGUGGAUGAGCAGUACCUCUCCACCUAAGUGUGGACAGCAGGGCCACCCCCCGAUGUGUGGGCUUUGGUGGACAUCUGUUUUCAGGCAUCGGGGUGCCUUGGGUAGCAGCACCUGCUUUACCUUGGUCCUGCUAGCAAGUACCGUCCUGUACCCUGAGGACGGAGCCUGGAGCCGGGGCUCUAACAGAAUGCCUCAGCUGCCACCUGGGUCCCCAUCCCCACUGCCCCCUCCUAGAGCAGUCAGGGACGCCCUCAGAGCUGCGAAGGGCACAGCAAGUCUCCAUCAGGCGCCCAGCAGGGAGGUUGAGAAAUUCCAACAAGUCCAGGCAGCCUCAUGGUGAGCUGCGCCCUGGAGAGACCUGCUGGGGCUGUUUGCCCUGAUGCUGAGUCUGGAGGCCACGCUCCUGACAACGGUGAGCAUCUGUCUGGGGCCCCUGCAUGGCUUCUGGCUGGUGCUUUCCGCCUAGAAUGGGAGAGAGGAAGGGGAGGGUCCUGGGCGCCUGCUCCUGGCCCAGCGCCUUCACCCCCCUCAGGCCUCCCUGCAACUGGGGAGACUGAGGCUGGGUCAGUCUCUCGGAAGCUUGGGGCGGUGGGCACAGGGCUGGAGCAGCCCACCUGGACCUCCGUCGGCCUGCGGGGCUGGAAUGAGCAGCACAGGAGACCCUCAGCAAGGCAGUGUGCUCCAGAGGUGGACCCAGAUGGAGGUGCCCACACACCGACCGCCCGGGGUGCCUCCAUGGCCUUGUCCACAGCAGCCCAAACCUGGGGGCACCUGAGACUCCCGGUGGGUGAGACAGAUGGGCCCAGACGGACGGCUGGAAAGAAAGAGCUCCUGAGCCAUGAUGAGCCGGGAGCACCCCUAAGGGAGGCCCCAGGCUGCAGAGGCCACGCCCUGGGCAACUCCAGCCUGACAUCCUGGAGAGGGCAGAAGUGUGCCCACAGCCCAGACCUGGGGGCCGGCGGGGGCCAGGACGGCAGGCAGAGCCUGGAGGACUUCUCAGGCCCCGGAAGGUCUGGUUCAGUCUGCGGACAGGUGUCCUUUAUCAAGAUCCCAGCCACGUGCGGCUCCCGAGGGAACCUCAAGUAAACCUGUGAGUGUCGCUGAGGACCACGUAUCCAAGUUGGCUCACCCACAGGUGGGGCGGCCGGACACUUCCCGUCCCCUGCCCCACUUUCCUGUCCACUUAGGGCUGCUCAAGAAAUAGGCUCUUGGGCGGGGCUGGGGCUCAGGGCCGAGCGCUGGCCCAGCACGUGUGAGGCACUGGAUCCGACUCUCAGCACCGCAGAUGAAACAGACGGACAGACAGACAGAUGAAAUAAAGGUCCAUUAACAACUACAGAAAUCUAAAAAGUAAAUGAAGUCUCCAACAAAGGGACUGCGGGUGAGGACCAGUGUGGGCGGGGCCUGGGCCUGGUCCCUAGCCCUGCAGAGGCCACCGAGGUCCAUCUGUGGCCGCGGGGUGGGGGCCGGCCGCUGUGGGUCACUGAUGCUGGACUGUGGCCGGCAGCCCUGCACACUGGUGGGCACCGGCACCUCCCUCUGCCCACUCCUGGGACCGCAGGACU